rnacentral:rRNA from 1 species
ACGCUCGACACCUACGGGGGCAGCAGUGGGGAAUAUUGCACAAUGGGGGAAACCCUGAUGCAGCGACGCCGCGUGAGCGAAGAAGUAUUUCGGUAUGUAAAGCUCUAUCAGCAGGGAAGAAACUGACGGUACCUGACUAAGAAGCACCGGCUAAAUACGUGCCAGUAGCCGCGGUAAUCUGAGCGGGCUGGCAAGGC